GACGAACGCUGGCGGCGUGCUUAACACAUGCAAGUCGAACGGCAAGGCCCUGCUUUUGUGGGGUGCUCGAGUGGCGAACGGGUGAGUAACACGUGAGUAACCUGCCCUUGACUUUGGGAUAACUUCAGGAAACUGGGGCUAAUACCGGAUAGGAGCUCCUGCUGCAUGGUGGGGGUUGGAAAGUUUCGGCGGUCGGGGAUGGACUCGCGGCUUAUCAGCUUGUUGGUGGGGUAGUGGCUUACCAAGGCUUUGACGGGUAGCCGGCCUGUGAGGGUGACCGGCCACAUUGGGCCUGAGAUACGGACCAGACUCCUACGGGAGGCAACAGUGGGGAGUAUGGCACAAUGGGAGGAAGCCUGAUGCAGCAACGCCGCGUGCGGGAUGACGGCCUUCGGGUUGUAAACCGCUUUCGCCUGUGACGAAGCGUGAGUGACGGUAAUGGGUAAAGAAGCACCGGCUAACUACGUG
rnacentral:rRNA from 1 species